rnacentral:rRNA from 1 species
UACAGAGGUCCCAAGCGUUGUUCGGAUUCACUGGGCGUAAAGGGUGCGCAGGUGGGUUGGCAAGUUCGAUGUGAAAGCCCCGGGCUUAACCCGGGAAUGGCAUUGGAAACUGCUGAUCUGGAGGGUCGGAGGGGGGACUGGAAUUCUUGGUGUAGCAGUGAAAUGCGUAGAUAUCAAGAGGAACACCAGUGGCGAAGGCGAGGCCCUGGACAACACCUGACACUGAGGCACGAAAGCUAGGGGAGCAAACAGG